rnacentral:ncRNA from 1 species
CUUAUCAAGAGUGGCGGAGGGAUUGGCCCGAUGAAGCCCGGCAACCUGCCCGCAGGGGGCGCGUUCCAGCAUGGGAGAGCGCGUCCGGCGUGCGAGUAAGGUGCCAAGUCCAGCGGUUUAUCGCAAAGAUGAGG